AGAAACUCUAGGUCAGUCCAAGAGCAGUUAUUCUACUAAGGAUGCUCACUCCCAUCCAUGCAACAGAAUUUACCCAGUGCCUGUCUGCGGGAGCGCGGGCUGGGCACUGGGGAAGACCUGUAGGUGUACAGAAACGGUUACACGAGGCAGGUAAAAACAACAGGCAAAAAGGGGGGGAAGCCCCGCAAGCUGUGCGGAGGAACACAAAGAACGAAGACUGAGUGGAGAGGUCCUGCUAGGCCUCCUCCAGGAGCUGGCUAUCCCGACAUCCCGCCGCCAACACUUACCUGACGCGUGUAGCUCUGCAGCCGCUCCACUAGCUCCUCCCGACUCCCUGCUGUGCAAAGCAGAGAGCCAUUCGGCCUACGCGGCUGGCUCUUGAUCUCCAGUUCUCCUUACCUUGGAUCGGAGCUCCGAUCUCUGCCAGUUUGGCCUGAAGCUCCUGGACAGCCCAGGCGCCAUAGUGGCCAGGAGGUGGCGGCGGCGGCAGCUGCAACUCUCCUUUGGGAGGCUCGGGAUGCUCGGCCGCCAUCUUAGCAGCAGCCAGGCGCGCGACCCAUACGGAAGCUCACGCCAGCUUCGGGGCCCACUUCCCGGAACUUCCGGCAGCGCGGAACGCCACGUCCCUCCCGGAUUGGAAGGCUGCUCGGACAGAGGCCCGCCCCCUGUCGGACUCCCAUGGUCGCAAAGCUUUCUGGGAGUUGUAGUUCGGUUCCCGGCCACUGCCCCGGGAGCACUGGGGGCUGGCGCGGGGCGGGGCUGCGGGCAGAGCGGGUCGCUCCCGGGGGGCUGGCUGUCAGCGCCUGGCUGGCCUGAGCGCAGACCACUAGCCUUCCGACUCCCUGACCUAGUGGGAGAGGCCCUCACGUUCCCUGGGAGCUCCGAGACUGAUUCCCCAGCCGCCGCGCGUGGCGGGCGCCAAGAGCAGAAGGUUGCAGCCGAUGCCUGUGAUAAAACCGCGUCUGGUUGUCUGCCCGCCCGCCCCGGCCCAGGUGUGGGUGAAUGCGCUGAAAGGGGAUCGGAUCGGAGCCGGCAGAGGAGCGGCCCGCCCGGGCUGAGCUCCAGCUGCGGGCCCGGGGGAAGGGCCACACGUCAAGCCCCUUUCUCCAUCUCCCAGGCCGGCUCCAAGGUCGCCUCCGCUAAGCCCGCUCCCGUUUUCCUUUGCUUCCUUGGAGCUCUCAUAAUACAUACAAACCUCCCGCCGUUGGUUUUGAAGUCUUUCUUGCCCCUUCUACCCACCUCCAUCCCCGAGAUCGUGAGCAGGGACCUGGCGUUCG